GUUGUUAUGUUGUGUAUUGACCUUAUCAUUGAUCAAAGUGAGGUGUUUAUUUAUUAGCCACUUAAAAGUUUCAUACAUCACCGAACAUGCACUUUUAAUGGUCUGACAUUUUGGUUUAUCUGUUUGUUGUACAAAUGUAAAAUUGGAAUUGUUCCAAAAUUUCUGCUUCAUGGUCAGAAUAUGUAGGUGACAUAAGAAAGAAAGCAACAAGGAGGGUAGUAAGUGGUCUAGUCUCAUUUCCAAAAUAUUUAAUGCACCACCAAACAUGCACUUUUAAUAGUCUGCCUCUUAUGAUAUCUCUUUGUUUUACAAAUGUAAAAUUGGAAUUGUUCCAAAAUUUCUACUGUAUGGUCAGAAUAAGUGGGUGAAGUAAAAAAGAAAGCAACAAGGAGGGUAGUAAGGGGUCUAGUCUCAUUUCCGAAAUAUUUAAUGCACCACCGAAUAUUCACUUUUAAUUGUCUGCUAUUUUGGUUUAUCUGUUUGUUGUACAAAUGUAAAAUUGGAAUUGUUCAAAAAUUUCUGCUGCAUGGUCAGAAUAUGUAGGUGACAUAAGAAAAAAAGCAACAAGGAGGAUAGUAAAGGGUCUAUCUAGUCUCAUUUCCAAAAUAUUUUAUGAAAACACCAAUUCAUAAAAAGAAAGGUGCUUAAAAACACUCAAGAUAUUUGUUUAUGCCUUUUUUUAUGUCUUUUUUUAGGGUUAUUGUUUAAAUAAUUGAAAAAUUCAAUGGGAUACUUUUGUUCAUGUUUAUGGCCUUUUCAUAUGUUGGGGUUUUUUUUUUGGUAAUUUUGUUCACACUUUUUGGUAUGAACUGGAUCUGACAUUUUAGUUGUACUACACCUUGUGGGCAUGCCUUUAGUUUGUUAGUGGAUCAAGUGUGGUACGGUCAUUUGUGGAGGGUCAGUGGUUUUAAUGGAUACUCAGUUUUCUCCCACCGAUAAAAGAGCCUGCUGUGAUAUUAUAUGAAAGUAUUAAACUUAAUCAAAACUAUUUAUCUCGGUGGAUCACUCUAAUUUUAAAGGCUAGCAACCAAUUUCUAAAUUCAGAUUACCAAUAGUGCUCACUAUUGAUACAAAUAACCGAUUUGAUAAUUUUAAACUGACACACUGUGGUACCCUGCUGAUUUUUAUAAACUUUUGGGUUUUCGUUUAUACCCUUUUGUCCUUUCUUAUCCUGUUUGAUAUCAAGCUGUGAUGAUGUAACAGGAUAGAUUUUUUUUAAUGAUAUUUUAACAACAUGUGGGAAAUUUUAUUCAUAUUUUAUAAUCCCAAAUAGUAAUAAAUUAUAGUUUUCUAAAUGGAAGAUUUUUUUAUAUCUUAUUUGAUAUUAUAAUGAGGUGCAUCGAGGGAUGAAAUUAGCAUGGAUCAAAAUUAGAAUGACUUCACCAAAUUUAAAUUAUCAUCGUUUGGUAAAGCAGUCAUACUUUUAAAUUGCUUAAGCAUGAAUUGAAUCUGUAGUUGUACAGCCAAAAAUAACUUUUUCUGCAUACAAUUUGUACUUUUUGCAACAUUUUUACAUCAGGUAAGGGUGAUUUGAUCUUUUUUUUUUGAGAAGUAAAAUAUUUGACUUAUGAGGGAAACUUUGAUAAGUGCUAUUAGUUUUAUAUUUGUUUGCAAAUUUCAAUAAUGCAUAUGUGUGAUCUCAGGUGCUCCAGAAGGGUAAUCAGAUCCUGCUUCACAUGUGGCACCUGUCAUGUUGCUCAUGUGACAAGUUGAAAGUGAUAUAUCAGUGUUUUUAACAAAUUUUAGUAAAAAAAAAACUUUGGUUUCUAAAGAAUUUAACUAAAAGUUUUGAAAAAUUUAAAGGUUACACAAAUUAUGCACAGAUAAAUUUUCUCUUUGUGAUGGCUCUGCAUUGUCAAUAAAAAUUAUGUCCCUCCCCACAGGGUCAAUAAUGGGAAUUCGCAAACAAGACUAUUGGCACAUACUAGAAGAUUAUAUUUAAAAUGUUAUAGGGAAAGAAGGUAUCAUAAUCUGUUCUACUUGUUUUAAGGAAUCAAAUGACUUACAAAUUUAUAAUUUUAGUCCUGAAUGAAACCAAAAAAUGGUAAAGCAUUCUAGUAAUGGUGUUUCAUCCUACCGUAUCAAAAUAAUCUGGUUUUAGAAUCAUGCAUUGAAGGCGUUUUAACUUUGUUACCUUUUUUGCUUGAGCAGACCAUAGAUUGAUAAAAAAAAAAAGAUAAUAUCAUACCACAAAUUUUUUAAAGCUGAAGAUUUUCUGAAAUGUCUUUUAUCAAGUCUUUUAUUUAGAAAUCAAACUUAUAAACGGUUAGUGACCAUCAUAUCAAAUUCAGCUUAAACUGUCUUUUAUAAACUGUGCAUAAGGAAAUUAAAUUAUGCCCAGUUUAAACUUAAUCAGGUUACUGUUAAGAAAUAGCAUUGUUUUUUCCUUCAGUAAAGUAUUGUGAAAAUACAUUUCAAGUUAUCAUAUAUUGUUUCUGAGUAUAAGAUUGUGAAAAUCAGCUUUUUGUUUUAGUAAAAUAUCGUAAAUAUACAUUUUCAAGAUAUCAUAUAUUGAUACUGAAUUUUUAGACUGGCUUGUUAAGUUCUUAUAUUAUAUUUGUUAUAGAUAUAUUAUUUAUUUUAUAAACCAAUUUAUGUAGUGAACAGGGCUCUUAUUUAUUCAGUUUUAUUUUUGUUUUGCUUUUUGCUUUACACUAGUAUUGUAUAUUUCAUGUUCCACAGGUAAAGGCAUUAAAGCAUUACAUA
rnacentral:lncRNA from 1 species